rnacentral:rRNA from 1 species
GACGAACGCUGGCGGCGUGCUUAACACAUGCAAGUCAGGGGGCUCAGCAAUGGGUCACCGGCGAACGGGCGCGUAACACGUGAGCGACCUGCCCAAGUGUGGGGGAUAGCCGGCCCAACGGCCGGGUAAUACCGCAUACGCUUCCUUUGGGGCAUACCUAGGGAAGGAAACCUUCGGGGCACAUGGAGGGGCUCGCGGCCUAUCAGCUAGUUGGCGGGGUAAUGGCCCACCAAGGCAACGACGGGUAGCUGGUCUGAGAGGAUGGCCAGCCACAUUGGGACUGAGAUACGGCCCAGACUCCUACGGGAGGCAGCAGUGGGGAAUAUUGCGCAAUGACCGAAAGGCUGACGCAGCGACGCCGCGUGGGGAGGAAGGUCUUCGGAUUGUAAACCCCUGUUGCCCGAGACGAA